UUCACACCUGAAUCCCUCAUUUCACCGGCGACUAGCCGGUGUCGGCGCAACUCAGGCCACCGGUGCCCCUCCUCCGAUGCGACACACCCACCCCCAUACACUCACACCCCUCGGUAAUCAAAAGAGCCGCCGUGUGCGGCGGCGAGACCAGAAAAACGGGAGUAGAGAGAGAUGAGACGGAGUCCCGGUGGUCGGAGGCAGUGGUGAGCUUGGUGGUGGACCGGCGGUAGCGCCGCCGCUCACGGCGGCGGCGGCGGAGGCACAGGCGGUGGUGCUUAUGUCAAGUUACGGCACGUUUCAUUGAAGUGACGAUGAGGGGGGGGGGUUUGCAUCGGGGUUGACGGAAGUGAUGGUGAUCGCCGGCUGUUUGGUCCGGUUCGAUCAAAUAGUCAGCAACUCAGUUACGAGUCAAAUCCAGCAGGUUCUGGGUGCUUCGGCUUGAGUCACUUUACAGUUUCGGGUGCGGGUCAACUCAGCUUCGGUUUGGUUGACUCGGUCAAACAGAGCCAACUCGGUCAACACGGUCAAACCGAGUC
rnacentral:lncRNA from 1 species